rnacentral:rRNA from 1 species
UACGGAGGAUGCAAGCGUUAUCCGGAAUGAUUGGGCGUAAAGCGUCCGCAGGUGGCGAUGUAAGUCUGCUGUUAAAGAGUGAGGCUCAACCUCAUAAGAGCAGUGGAAACUACAUAGCUAGAGUACGUUCGGGGCAGAGGGAAUUCCUGGUGUAGCGGUGAAAUGCGUAGAGAUCAGGAAGAACACCGAUGGCGAAGGCAGCUCGCUGGGACGUUACUGACGCUGAGACGCGAAAGCGUGGGGAGCAAACAGG